rnacentral:sRNA from 1 species
UUUUGCUGCUGCAGCCCAUUGAGGGUGACGACAUGGAGCACAAGACCCUGAAGAUCACCGACUUUGGCCUGGCCCGAGAGUGGCACAAAACCACACAAAUGAGUGCCGCGGGCACCUAUGCCUGGAUGGCUCCUGAGGUUAUCAAGGCCUCCACCUUCUCUAAGGGCAGUGACGUCUGGAGUUUUGGGGUGCUGCUGUGGGAACUGCUGACCGGGGAGGUGCCAUACCGUGGCAUUGACUGCCUUGCUGUGGCCUAUGGCGUAGCUGUUAACAAGCUCACACUGCCCAUCCCAUCCACCUGCCCCGAGCCCUUCGCACAGCUUAUGGCCGGUAAGAGGACGGGGAGGGCAGGUGAGGUGCAGAGCUCCCUGGCCCAGGACACGUCCACCCAUAGACCCCUUCUUAUUCUGUCCCCGCUGCACGCCGUGCCCCUAGACUGCUGGGCGCAGGACCCCCACCGCAGGCCCGACUUCGCCUCCAUCCUGCAGCAGUUGGAGGCGCUGGAGGCACAGGUCCUACGGGAAAUGCCGCGGGACUCCUUCCAUU